UAAGGAAUAUUCCACAAUGGGCGCAAGCCUGAUGGAGCGACGCCGCGUGCGGGACGAAGCCUUUCGGGGUGUAAACCGCUUUUGUAGGGGAUGACACCUGGGGAAACCCAGUACGACAGUACCUUACGAAUAAGCAUCGGCUAACUACGUGCCAGCAGCCGCGGUAAUACGUAGGAUGCAAGCGUUGUCCGGAUUUACUGGGCGUAAAGCGCGCGCAGGCGGCAGGUUAAGUAAGGUGUGAAAUCUCCCUGCUCAACGGGGAGGGUGCACUUUAGACUGACCAGCUAGAGGGCGGUAGAGGGUGGUGGAAUUGCUGGUGUAGCGGUGAAAUGCGUAGAGAUCAGCAGGAACACCCGUGGCGAAGGCGGCCACCUGGGCCGUACCUGACGCUGAGGCGCGAAGGCUAGGGGAGCGAACGG
rnacentral:rRNA from 1 species